rnacentral:rRNA from 1 species
UACGUAGGUGGCAAGCGUUAUCCGGAAUUACUGGGCGUAAAGCGCACGCAGGCGGUCUUUUAAGUUUGACGUGAAAGCUCCCGGCUUAACUGGGAGAGGUCGUUGAAUACUGGAAGACUUUGAGGAAAUGAGAGGGGUGUAGAAUUCCUGGUGUAGUGGUGGAAUGCGUAGAUAUCAGGAGGAAUACCAGUGGCGAAAGCGGCACCCUAGCAUUUUUCUGACGCUCAUGUGCGAAAGCGUGGGGAGCGAACGGG